rnacentral:rRNA from 1 species
CCUACGGGCGGCAGCAGUGGGGAAUAUUGGACAAUGGGCGAAAGCCUGAUCCAGCCAUGCCGCGUGUGUGAAGAAGGCCUUCGGGUUGUAAAGCACUUUCAGUGGGGAAGAAAGCCUUGGGGCUAAUACCCUCGAGGAAGGACAUCACCCACAGAAGAAGCACCGGCUAACUCCGUGCCAGCAGCCGCGGUAAUACGGAGGGUGCGAGCGUUGAUCGGAAUUACUGGGCGUAAAGCGCGCGUAGGCGGUCUGAUAAGCCGGUUGUGAAAGCCCCGGGCUCAACCUGGGAACGGCAUCCGGAACUGUCAGGCUAGAGUGCAGGAGAGGAAGGUAGAAUUCCCGGUGUAGCAGUGAAAUGCGUAGAGAUCGGGAGGAAUACCAGUGGCGAAGGCGGCCUUCUGGACUGACACUGACGCUGAGGUGCGAAAGCGUGGGUAGCAAACAGGAUUAGAUACCCGAGUAGUC